CAGUGUGUGUGCAUGUUUGUUGAGUGAA
rnacentral:piRNA from 1 species